rnacentral:sRNA from 1 species
UGCAAAGGUUAUAUGGAUCUGAUGGAUCCGU